AAUAUAAAAAAGAAGAUGUGGUGUGAUUGCCAAUGAGACAACUAUCCACAAAAGACCAAAAUGACACAGACAUUAACAACUAUAGGUCACCGUACGGCCUUCAACAAUGAGCAAAGCCCAUACCGCAUAGUCAGCUAUAAAAGGCUCCGAUAAGACCAUGUAAAACAAUUCAAACGAGAAAACUAACGGCCUUAUUUAUGUAAAAAAAUGAACGAAAAACAAAUAUGUAAA
rnacentral:lncRNA from 1 species